CCUACGGGUGGCAGCAGUGAGGAAUAUUGGUCAAUGGCCGGAAGGCUGAACCAGCCAUGCCGCGUGAAGGUCAGUGCCCUAUGGGCGUUAAACUUCUUUUGUGCGGGAGCAAUAAUGGUCACGUGUGGCCAGACGAGAGUACCGUACGAAUAAGCAUCGGCUAACUCCGUGCCAGCAGCCGCGGUAAUACGGGGGAUGCAAGCGUUAUCCGGAUUUAUUGGGUUUAAAGGGUGCGUAGGCUGGGAGGUAAGUCAGCGGUGAAAUGCCCCCGCUCAACGGGGUGAAGUGCCAUUGAUACUGGCUGGCUGGAAUGCGGAUGCCGUGGGAGGAAUGUGUGGUGUAGCGGUGAAAUGCAUAGAUAUCACACAGAACACCGAUUGCGAAGGCAUCUCACGAAGCCGCGAUUGACGCUGAUGCACGAAAGCGUGGGUAUCAAACAGGAUUAGAUACCCCUGUAGUC
rnacentral:rRNA from 1 species